rnacentral:rRNA from 1 species
AACGAACGCUGGCGGCAUGCCUAACACAUGCAAGUCGAACGAGACCUUCGGGUCUAGUGGCGCACGGGUGCGUAACGCGUGGGAAUCUGCCCUUGGGUUCGGAAUAACAGUGAGAAAUUACUGCUAAUACCGGAUGAUGUCUUCGGACCAAAGAUUUAUCGCCCAGGGAUGAGCCCGCGUAGGAUUAGCUAGUUGGUGGGGUAAUGGCCUACCAAGGCGACGAUCCUUAGCUGGUCUGAGAGGAUGAUCAGCCACACUGGGACUGAGACACGGCCCAGACUCCUACGGGAGGCAGCAGCGGGGAAUAUUGGACAAUGGGCGCAAGCCUGAUCCAGCAAUGCCGCGUGAGUGAUGAAGGCCUUAGGGUUGUAAAGCUCUUUUACCCGGGAUGAUAAUGACAGUACCGGGAGAAUAAGCUCCGGCUAACUCCGUG